AGCGAACGCUGGCGGCAGGCUUAACACAUGCAAGUCGAGCGGGCGUAGCAAUACGUCAGCGGCAGACGGGNGAGUAACGCGUGGGGACAUACCUCUUGGUUCGGAACAACACAGGGAAACUUGUGCUAAUACCGGAUAAGCCCUUACGGGGAAAGAUUUAUCGCCGAGAGAUUGGCCCGCGUCUGAUUAGCUAGUUGGUGAGGUAACGGCUCACCAAGGCGACGAUCAGUAGCUGGUCUGAGAGGAUGAUCAGCCACAUUGGGACUGAGACACGGCCCAAACUCCUACGGGAGGCAGCAGUGGGGAAUAUUGGACAAUGGGCGCAAGCCUGAUCCAGCCAUGCCGCGUGAGUGAUGAAGGCCCUAGGGUUGUAAAGCUCUUUUACCCACGACGAUGAUGACGGUAGUGGGAGAAUAAGCCCCGGCUAACUUCGUGCCAGCAGCCGCCGU
rnacentral:rRNA from 1 species